rnacentral:rRNA from 1 species
CCGUCUACUCUUGGACAGCCUUCCGAAAGGAAGAUUAAUACAAGAUGGCAUCAUGAGUCCGCAUGUUCACAUGAUUAAAGGUAUUCCGGUAGACGAUGGGGAUGCGUUCCAUUAGAUAGUAGGCGGGGUAACGGCCCACCUAGUCUUCGAUGGAUAGGGGUUCUGAGAGGAAGGUCCCCCACAUUGGAACUGAGACACGGUCCAAACUCCUACGGGAGGCAGCAUG